AUCAUGCUAAUUUUACUAUGUUAUUUUUCAGUGAAGCCAGAGGGCCUAAUCUCUGCCCUCACUUUAACAUAUGUGAACAUUUCCCUCAGUUUUCUGAGACUCUGAAACCACUUUGCUGUGGAUCCAUCAUCAAAAAGGGUACAUACAAAUCAGACAACUCAGGCCUGCAUAUUGCCUUCUGCAACAUCCUCAAAAAUCCAUUUUUGCUAUUGGCAGGACAUUGAUUCCCUUUGAAUGGAUGGGGAGUCCAGGCGGGGACAAGAGAUGACGCGGUGAGGCACCAAGGAUAACCAUUAAAAAGGAACCAGGACUCCAGGACGCGCCAAGACAUUCCUGCUGCCAACAUGAUUCCAAGAAAAUUAAUUUCAUUUCAUCGGUGGUGUUCACUUUGAGUUUCAUUUGAAUGAGCUUACCCUUUAAACACAGAACUGAAGCUGUUUCUACUGACUUAAUUCUUACAAUAAAAAAAAAUUACAUUAAUAACCUCAUAAUAGUCUCCACCCGUUGGAUGUGUUACAACUAAAAACAUGUGUGCAAUUAAAUUACCUUAUAAUUGAUAAGGAGGAGGAUUGGGUAGAUUUAUCCUCAGGAAAUAGUCACAUUCUCUAACAACAGAGGGAGAAUGAAUGAGGCAGAAUGUGAGCUGUAAUCACCACAGAUGGGUCAUUAUCAGCAUAUGACUGUCUUAAAACUGAUGUGUUUAUAUUCAGCACACUUGUUCCGAACACAUGUUGCAUCAUGUGUUCGGAGGAAUCAUUUGUCUGAACAGGCUUUAGCAGUAUGUGUGACACUCUAAUUCUCUAAUCCUUUACUCUUUGUUGUAGCCUAUAGAUAUUUUUCCUUGUGGUGAAAUAAAUCAGCUCUUGAGGCACAA